UAUAUCAGAGCCAUAUAGAGUGAGAGUUGCGACAACUCCAUUGACUCCAAUGGAACGCUUUUUUUACAGCAAUGGCGGCUCGUGGAGCCUCUCAAUAGUUCCCGGAAGUAGCAGCAAACCUAUGCCGCGCCAUAGAGAUGCAGCAGAACAAACCGUUUGCGACGCACUUUUAACAGACCCAGGUAACUGGCUGACGGUUCACUGGAAUGCUGACUGCUGCUGACUGACUUGCUGCUGGUUGACUGGGCAGUGUCACCUGUCCCUGUCUCUCCUCUCUAGCCAUGUCCUUUUUCUUCACUCUCACUUUCCCUUCUCUGAGUGUCCUCGUUCUUUUUUCCUCAACCUUUGAAACUGAUAGAGGUAGAAUACAUGGUCUAGGGGUGCAUCGUGGAGCAGGGCCCUCCUCUUUUUGACCACAGGACGAUGUACAAAGAUUGUGGGAAUAGCAUCUGGUCUCAGCCUACUCUUGAAUUUUUUGGUCAUGACAAAUUGCUUUGCCACAAUUUGUCUGCAUACUGACUUCAGUUUAGUUUCCACACACACCUUUUUUUUUGUCUACCCACAUACAGUACAUAUCACAUGGUGGUUAAAUGCACAGUUAUAGGUAACACUGAUGACUCCCUGCAAUGUCUCACCAUGAGUCUCAGCUCCCUGGGUUUUGCAAGGCUUUGCUUGUUCCUUAUUUCUAGUAAAACAUUGUCAAUGUAAAAAAGUGCAAAUAAAUGUAAGUAUAAUUACCUAACAAUUUUUUGUUGUUGUAAUUUUUAUUUGUAUUUAGAUUGCUCCUGCUGACUUGAGCCAACCAUUAUUUUCUCCUCUCUAUGUCAGCGGGGAAGCCAUACAUUCGCACACCUUUCUCUGACUGAGUGGAGCAUCCCCAUGCAGCACAGUAAACCAUGGUGGAGACUAUGCAAGGACAACAUUAAAGAAAGGACACAUACAAAAUGCUUGUCAUGCUAUUAAAUUUAUUAGAAAUGUAUUCAUGAAUUGCUGUAAAUAGUUAAUUGUAUAAUUACAACUUAAAAUAACUGUUUUCUGUUUUAAAAUGGAAUAUACUCCUGUGAUGCCAACCUGAAUUUUCAGCAUCAUUACUUUUGAAUGGCAGUGUACAUGUUUAUAUACGAGUAUGCUUAAGUUGUUUUAAACCUGAAUAUAUUGUAUACAUGAAUAAGUAUUGUAAUAAUUAUACUAGAUAUAAUAGGUAUAUUAUUUAUAAUACAUAAUUAUAUUACUAUAUGUAAUUGUAAGAAUUAUAAACAGUAAGCUUCAUUUUACAUUUAUUUAACAUGCUAAUUACUGCUGGUAACAGUUAAUUGACCCAUAGUGCGGUCCCAGCUGAAAAUCACCUGUCACCAGCCUGUCUCUGUACUACCUGAAAGUCAUCAAUAUGACAUGAGUUAACAUUAGAUCAGUGAAAAAAUGGACAAUAUGUAACGUAAAAAGGCAACAGUAACCCGUGUUUAUAAAACUUAACGUUAGCCUGAAAUACGUUUUUAAAAUAACGGUAAUUGAACACUAAUCCUCAAAUAUUACCCGAUUUGAUAUUUUAAAAGCAACAUCGCUGUAACUACAUACUCAUGCUACAUACAUAUGUCAGUGUGUUGUAUAAACAUAUAAAAUAAAUGCAUUUAUUGACUCCUUAUUACCAGAAA